GACGAACGCUGGCGGCGUGCUUAACACAUGCAAGUCGAACGAGAGCGUAGAGAAAGCUUGCUUUUUCUACAAUCUAGUGGCAAACGGGUGAGUAACGUGUAAACAACCUGCCCUACGGAUGGGGACAACAGCUGGAAACGGCUGCUAAUACCGAAUACGUUCCGAAAGUCGCAUGACUAUCGGAAGAAAGGAUGGCCUCUAUUUAUAAGCUAUCGCCGGAGGAGGGGUUUGCGUCUGAUUAGCUAGUUGGAGGGGUAACGGCCCACCAAGGCGACGAUCAGUAGCCGGUCUGAGAGGAUGAACGGCCACAUUGGAACUGAGACACGGUCCAGACUCCUACGGGAGGCAGCAGUGGGGAAUCUUCCGCAAUGGGCGAAAGCCUGACGGAGCAACGCCGCGUGAGUGAAGACGGCCUUCGGGUUGUAAAGCUCUGUUAUACGGGACGAAUAAUCUUGUGGUUAAUACCCAUGAGAAGUGACGGUACCGUAAGAGAAAGCCACGGCUAACUACGUG
rnacentral:rRNA from 1 species